rnacentral:rRNA from 1 species
CUUUGGGUGUGACUGCGUACCUUUUGUAUAAUGGGUCAGCGACUUAUAUUCUGUAGCAAGGUUAACCGAAUAGGGGAGCCGGAGGGAAACCGAGUCUUAACCGGGCGUUAAGUUGCAGGGUAUAGACCCGAAACCCGGUGAUCUAGCCAUGGGCAGGUUGAAGGUUGGGUAACACUAACUGGAGGACCGAACCGACUAAUGUUGAAAAAUUAGCGGAUGACCUGUGGCUGGGGGUGAAAGGCCAAUCAAACCGGGAGAUAGCUGGUUCUCCCCGAAAGCUAUUUAGGUAGCGCCUCGUGAAUUCAUCUCCGGGGGUAGAGCACUGUUUCGGCUAGGGGGCCAUCCCGGCUUACCAACCCGAUGCAAACUGCGAAUACCGGAGAAUGUUAUCACGGGAGACACACGGCGGGUGCUAACGUCCGUCGUGAAGAGGGAAACAACCCAGACCGCCAGCUAAGGUCCCAAAGUCAUGGUUAAGUGGGAAACGAUGUGGGAAGGCCCAGACAGCCAGGAUGUUGGCUUAGAAGCAGCCAUCAUUUAAAGAAAGCGUAAUAGCUCACUGGUCGAGUCGGCCUGCGCGGAAGAUGUAACGGGGCUAAACCAUGCACCGAAGCUGCGGCAGCGACACUGUGUGUUGUUGG